GCAGCCGCAGUGAAUAGGCCCAAGCGACUGUUUAUCAAAAACACAGGUCUCUGCAAAAUCGUAAGAUGAAGUAUAGGGGCUGACGCCUGCCCGGUGCUGGAAGGUUAAGAGGAGUGCUUAGCGCAAGCGAAGGUACGAAUUGAAGCCCCAGUAAACGGCGGCCGUAACGAUAACGGUCCUAAGGUAGCGAAAUUCCUUGUCGGGUAAGUUCCGACCCGCACGAAAGGCGUAACGAUCUGGGCACUGUCUCAACGAGAGACUCGGUGAAAUUUUAGUACCUGUGAAGAUGCAGGUUACCCGCGACAGGACGGAAAGACCCCAUGGAGCUUUACUGUAGCUUGGUAUUGGGUUUUGGCAUUGCAUGUAUAGGAUAGUUGGGAAACUAUGAAGGUGUGGCGCUAGCUGCACUGGAGUUGUCGGUGGAAUACCAACCAUUCAAUGUUGAAAUUCUAAUCUGUGGUUUGGAGCCACGGAGACAGUGCUAGGUGGGCAGUUUGACUGGGGCGGUCGCCUCCCAAAUGGUAACGGAGGCGUACAAAGGUUUCCUCAGAUCGGUCAGAAAUCGAUCGUAGAGUGUAAAGGCAUAAGGAAGCUUGACUGUGAGACCUACAAGUCGAGCAGGGACGAAAGUCGGUCUUAGUGAUCUGACGGUACUGAGUGGAAAGGCCGUCACUCAACGGAUAAAAGUUACUCUAGGGAUAACAGGCUGAUCUCCCCCAAGAGUUCACAUCGACGGGGAGGUUUGGCACCUCGAUGUCGGCUCAUCGCAUCCUGGGGCGGUAGUACGUCCCAAGGGUUGGGCUGUUCGCCCAUGAAAGCGGUACGCGAGCUGGGUUCAGAACGUCGUGAGACAGUUCGGUCCAUAUCCGGUGUAGGCGUUAGAAUAUUGAGAGGAGCCUUCUUUAGUACGAGAGGACCGAGAAGGACAUACCUAUGGUGUACCAGUUAUCAUGCCAAUGGUAAACGCUGGGUAGCUAUGUAUGGAGUGGAUAACCGCUGAAAGCAUCUAAGUGGGAAGCCCACCUCGAGAUGAGUAUUCUCAUCACGAAAGUGAGUAAGGUCACGGCAAGACUAGCCGUUCGAUAGGCAUCAAGUGUAAGUAUAGUAAUAUAUGUGCUGAGAUGUUCUAACAGACCGA
rnacentral:rRNA from 12 species